rnacentral:rRNA from 1 species
CGGAAGGAUCAUUACCGAGUGAGGGCCCUCUGGGUCCAACCUCCCACCCGUGUUUAUCGUACCUUGUUGCUUCGGCGGGCCCGCCUCACGGCCGCCGGGGGGCAUCCGCCCCCGGGCCCGCGCCCGCCGAAGACACCAUUGAACUCUGUCUGAAGAUUGCAGUCUGAGCGAUUAGCUAAAUCAGUUAAAACUUUCAACAACGGAUCUCUUGGUUCCGGCAUCGAUGAAGAACGCAGCGAAAUGCGAUACGUAAUGUGAAUUGCAGAAUUCAGUGAAUCAUCGAGUCUUUGAACGCACAUUGCGCCCCCUGGUAUUCCGGGGGGCAUGCCUGUCCGAGCGUCAUUGCUGCCCUCAAGCACGGCUUGUGUGUUGGGCCCCGCCCCCCGGUUCCGGGGGGCGGGCCCGAAAGGCAGCGGCGGCACCGCGUCCGGUCCUCGAGCGUAUGGGGCUUUGUCACCCGCUCUGUAGGCCCGGCCGGCGCCCGCCGGCGACCCCAAAUCAAUCUAUCCAGGUUGACCUCGGAUCAGGUAGGGAUACCCGCUGAACUUAAGCAUAUGAGAAGG